UUUACCACGGUGUGGUUCAUGACUGGGGUGAAGUCGUAACAAGGUAGCCCUAGGGGAACCUGGGGCUGGAUCACCUCCUUACCUAAAGA
rnacentral:rRNA from 3 species